CAACCGGCGACUUCAGCUUGAGUUCUAGCUUUUCUCCCAUUCUACACUUUCUCCUGCGUUUGCUACGGUGGUAGGCUGGCUAUGCUUGCUAGUUUAGUGAGCUAGCUACUACAAUGUGAUCAUGUUGUCAGAAAAAAAAUCUUAAAACAAUAUACAAAAUGUCGAUUAUUGUAAUGGAGUGAAGUAGUGCACGCCCCUUGUAGUCCGACGUUGAAAUAUUUCCGUUUGAUUUUAAUCAAUUUAUUUCAAAAAUAAAUGUUCAUGCCGAGCGGCUACUACACCUCGUCCUCGGCAGUACAGCCGCCAUCUUGCUCCGCUCGGCGUGAAAAAAAAGUCAAAGCGGCCUCUACCAAAGUGACAACGUCAGGGAGGGGGGACUCGGAGCUUGGGAAGUAUACGGUUACCCGGAGUGUACAACCGGAUUGUUACAUUUCGAACGGUGACCAUGACGAAAACAACGAGUCAUUAUCUUAUGUAAGACAGUUUGAAUUGGGAUUUCCCGGGAGCAAUAACGGCCAACUGGCGGGAAAUACACAUUUCAUCGUGGGAGAGCCAACAGAAGUACCCUGACCCAGUGAUUUUGACCCUCAAGGAUAAUGAAGGUGAAAAGCGAAGAGGAAGAAUGUGAUCAACAGAAAUAGUUGUGAUAGUCACACUGAGAAAAUAUACCCCAGUGAAACAGACCUGAAGGUCACUAUAUUCUAAUUUCAACGAAACACUCAGGACACUUGUGUCAUUGAGUAAUCAGAAAUUCCACAUCAUUGUAGUGCCACAACAAGAACCUCAAACAACAAAUGUGACCUAGGUAUACAGGACAAAAGGAUAGUUAGAAUCAGAGAGUCACUGUAAAACUAGAACCUCAAAAGGAAGACUUGGAACUUUCAACAAAUGCAGCAGGACAAAAUGAGAGAGUAAAAGAGUGAGAAAUGGUCACUGUAGUACCACUAAAACUAGAACCAGAAAUGUAAGACGUGGAACUCCCAAGAAGUGCACGACAAAAUUAUAAUGGUCAUCUGGGAGAGAGAUUCUUUACAUUAUGCAGAGAUCACAGUAGCAAUAGAAAAUGGAUGCUACUGUAAAACAUUUUAAUCCUGCUUAUGGGAUAUUUAGAACACACCCGUAGAUUCCUUGUCAAAAAGUGUAUGUUCUUUUGCAUUAUGGCCUGUUGGAUCAUCCACAGAUAUAUAGUGGAGAGAUGCCAUAUGAGUGCUCAGUGUUACAAGCGCUUCAUUUGAAAUUCUGACCUCAUCAAGCACAGACUGGUCCACUCUGACCAACAACCAUACUCCUGCCCCAUCUGUGGCAAAAGCUUCAAGCUGAUGUUAACAAGCAUCAGGUGUUGCAUGAAGACAUUCUUCCCUUCGUCUGUGCCUAGUGUGAUAAAGGCUUCAAGCGGGCAGCCUGCCUGACAAAGCAUCAGAAAUUCCACAGAAGAUCCCUUUGGGUGCACCAUCUGUGGGUGCAACUUUAAAUGGUAGGUGUCACUAAAGGACAAUUUGCAUUUCCACAAGGGUGGGAUGACCUUUGUCUGCCCAGAGGAGUGCUGUGGAGGGAGCUUCAGCCAUCGCUCAACCUACCUGCAGCAUUGUCGUACACACAAGAAGUAUGAGGAGUACUCCUGCCAGUUCUGCAGUGCUGAAGCAUGAACGCACAUACACUCAACAGCACAGGUCCGAAAUCUAGUCUGGCUGAUACCAAACUCGAAGUCUUCCCGACUUCAGAGUCUAGAAAGGGUCCUUGAUGUUGUAGGCACAAUGCAUCUAAUGAAGAGGGCUGUGCUUUUUUUACUGAUUGGUUCACUUGUGUCUUUCUCACUCCAGCACCCACAUGGACAGCCACGCACAUCUUUAUAUAUAUUUUUUUACGUUCUUUGCUUCCA